rnacentral:rRNA from 1 species
CCCUUAGAUGUUCUGGGCCGCACGCGCGCUACACUGAUGCAUUCAACGAGUUUCUUCCUGGUCCUAGAGGAAUGGGUAACCUUUUGAAAGUGCAUCGUGAUAGGGAUAGACUAUUGCAAUUAUUGGUCUUCAACGAGGAAUUCCUAGUAGACGUAGUUCAUCAGACUGCAUCGAUUACGUCCCUGCCCUUUGUACACACCGCCCGUCGCUCCUACCGAUUGAAUGCUCAGGUGAGCCAUUCGGACUUUCAUCAUGCUGGUUUCCAGUUUUGAUGAAGGAAAGUCUUGCGAACCUUAUCAUUUAGAGGAAGGAGAAGUCGUAACA